rnacentral:misc_RNA from 1 species
GAUGAAGAACGUAGCGAAAUGCGAUAAGUAAUGUGAAUUGCAGAAUUCAGUGAAUCAUCGAAUCUUUGAACGCACAUUGCGCCCGCCAGUAUUCUGGCGGGCAUGCCUGUUCGAGCGUCAUUUCAACCCUCAAGACCCCUUCGGGGGACUUGGUGUUGGGGACCGGCACAGGGGCCUGCCUGCUUGUCUUGCAGCGCCCUCGCCGCCCCCGAAAUGAAUUGGCGGCCUCGUCGCGGCCUCCCCAGCGUAGUAGCACAACCUCGCAACGGGAACGUGACGGCGGCCACUGCCGUAAAACAACCCCAAUUUUAUUAGAGUUGACCUCGAAUCAGGUAGGAAUACCCGCUGAACUUAAGCAUAUCAAUAAGCGGAGGA